GACGAACGCUGGCGGCGUGCUUAACACAUGCAAGUCGAGCGGAAAGGCCCUUUGGGGUACUCGAGCGGCGAACGGGUGAGUAACACGUGAGCAACCUGCCCUGGACUUUGGGAUAACCCUCGGAAACGGGGGCUAAUACCGGAUAUUACUGCCUCUCGCAUGGGGGGUGGGUGGUAAAGUUUUUACGGUUCUGGGAGUGGGCGUCGCGGCCUAUCAGCUUGUUGGGUGGGGUGGAUGGCCUACCAAGGCGACGACGGGAGGCCGGCCUGAGAGGGCGACCGGCCACACUGGGACUGAGACACGGCCC
rnacentral:rRNA from 1 species